UACGUAGGGGGCAAGCGUUGUCCGGAAUCAUUGGGCGUAAAGAGCGUGUAGGCGGCCCGAUAAGUCCGCUGUGAAAGUCCAGGGCUCAACCCUGGAAUGCCGGUGGAUACUGUCGGGCUCGAAUCCGGAAGAGGUGAGUGGAAUUCCUGGUGUAGCGGUGAAAUGCGUAGAUAUCAGGAGGAACACCAAUGGCGAAGGCAGCUCACUGGGACGGUAUUGACGCUGAGGUGCGAAAGCGUGGGGAGCAAACAGG
rnacentral:rRNA from 1 species